GAGUUUGAUCGUGGCUCAGGAUGAACGCUGGCGGCGUGCUUAACACAUGCAAGUCGAACGGGGCCACCAUUUUUGAAGCGAUUAGCUUGCUAAGAGUGGAAAUGUUGGCGGCUUAGUGGCGGACGGGUGAGUAACGCGUGGGUAACCUGCCAUAUACAGGGGGAUAACACUUAGAAAUAGGUGCUAAUACCGCAUAAGCGCACGGAGCUGCAUGGCUCAGUGUGAAAAACUCCGGUGGUAUAUGAUGGACCCGCGUCUGAUUAGCUUGUUGGCGGGGUAACGGCCCACCAAGGCGACGAUCAGUAGCCGGCCUGAGAGGGUGGACGGCCACAUUGGGACUGAGACACGGCCCAAACUCCUACGGGAGGCAGCAGUGGGGAUAUUGGACAAUGGGGGAACCCUGAUCCAGCGACGCCGCGUGAGUGAAGAAGUAUCUCGGUAUGUAAAGCUCUAUCAGCAGGGAAGAAAGAAAUGACGGUACCUGACCAAGAAGCCCCGGCUAACUACGUGCCAGCCGCCG
rnacentral:rRNA from 1 species